UAUUUCACCCUUGUAUUUCAC
rnacentral:siRNA from 1 species